rnacentral:rRNA from 1 species
UCGAGGGGCAGCGCGGGUAGCAAUACCUGGCGGCGACCGGCAAACGGGUGCGGAACACGUACAGAACCUACCUUUGUCUGGGGCAUAGCCCGGAGAAAUCCGGAUUAACUCCCCAUAAUAUAGAUGAGUGGCAUCACUUGACUAUUAAAAAUUUAUUGGACAGAGAUGGCUGUGCGUCCCAUUAGCUAGUUGGUAGGGUAACGGCCUACCAAGGCAACGAUGGGUAGCUGGUGUGAGAGCACGACCAGCCACACGGGCACUGAGACACGGGCCCGACUCCUACGGGAGGCAGCAGUGAGGAAUAUUGGUCAAUGGACGCAAGUCUGAACCAGCCAUGCCGCGUGAAGGAUGAAGGCCUUCUGGGUUGUAAACUUCUUUUACCUGGGAAGAAACCACCUUUUUCUAAGGGUGUUGACGGUACCAGAGGAAUAAGCACCGGCUAACUCCGUGCCAGCAGCCGCGGUAAUACGGAGGGUGCAAGCGUUAUCCGGAUUUACUGGGUUUAAAGGGUGUGUAGGCGGGCUAUUAAGUCAGUGGUGAAAUCUCCGGGCUCAACCUGGAAACUGCCAUUGAUACUAUUAGUCUUGAAUUUUGUUGAGGUAGGCGGAAUAAGUCAUGUAGCGGUGAAAUGCUUAGAUAUGACUUAGAACACCAAUUGCGAAGGCAGCUUGCUAAACAAAUAUUGACGCUGAGGCACGAAAGCGUGGGGAUCAAACAGGA